rnacentral:rRNA from 1 species
CUAGCUGUAAACGAUGGAUACUAGGCGUUGAGAGUAUCGAUCCUCUCAGUGUCGUAGCUAACGCGUUAAGUAUCCCGCCUGGGGAGUACGCGCGCAAGCGUGAAACUCAAAGGAAUUGACGGGGGCCCGCACAAGCGGUGGAGUAUGUGGUUUAAUUCGAUGCAACGCGAAGAACCUUACCAGGGCUUGACAUGUCCGGAACCCUGCCCAAAGGCGGGGGUGCCUACGGGAACCGGAACACAGGUGGUGC